rnacentral:rRNA from 1 species
CUUUGUGCCAGCAGCCGCGGUAAUACGUAGGGCGCAAGCGUUGUCCGGAAUUAUUGGGCGUAAAGAGCUCGUAGGCGGUUUGUCGCGUCUGCUGCGGAAACGCAAGGCUAACCCUUGCGCCUGCAGUGGGUACGGGCAGACUAGAGUGCGGUAGGGGAGACUGGAAUUCCUGGUGUAGCGGUGGAAUGCGCAGAUAUCAGGAGGAACACCGAUGGCGAAGGCAGGUCUCUGGGCCGUUACUGACGCUGAGGAGCGAAAGCAUGGGGAGCGAACAGGAUUAGA